ensembl:lncRNA TEKT4P2 tektin 4 pseudogene 2
CACUUCGCCAUUUUCCUCCGGAAGUGCGGAUCCCAGCGGCGGUCGUGUAGCUGAGCAGGCCUGGGGCUUGGUUCUAUGUCCCUGUAGUGUCCUCUGGGUGUUUCCAAGAGCAACAAGAAACGAAUAAAUCUCUGCCCCGCAGCGCCUCCACCCCAGAGACCCGGACCAAGUUCACACAGGACAAUCUGUGCCACGCCCAGCGCGAGCGCCUGGACUCGGCCAACCUGUGGGUGCUGGUGGACUGCAUCCUUCGCGACACCUCCGAGGACCUGGGACUCCAGUGUGACGCCGUGAACCUGGCCUUCGGGCGCCGCUGUGAGGAACUGGAGGACGCGCGGCACAAGCUGCAGCACCACCUGCACAAGAUGCUGCGGGAAAUCACAGAUCAGGAACACAACGUGGUGGCACUGAAGGAGGCCAUCAAGGACAAGGAGGAACCUCUGCACAUAGCCCAGACCCGGCUGUAGUUGCUCUCACACCGGCCCAACAUGCAGCUGUGCCGCGAUGCAGCCCAGUUCAGGUACUGCCUGGGCCUCUGAGGCAGUCCCAGGUGCCCCCAUCCACCUCCUCGCUGCGACCCUCUCCAAUAAACACUCCAAUCUCCACACACACAUCCCCCACAGGUGCUGAGAGGGGAGGGAGACUCUGCGGCCACACACAACAUGCAAGCACGCCUUAAACACACAGAUAUAGACAUGACACUGGGCAGGUCAUGGGUCGGGGGCCUCCCCGUGCCAGGGACCUGUGCCCACGUGGUCUCACCCCACCCUGUGCUACCUCAUCUUCCCGGGAGGAAGCUCCUUCAGACAAGGUGAGCUCCUGGAGGCCACGGGGCCAGAGAGGCCAGAGAGGGCCAUUCCCUGCUGCCCUGAGGGUGCUGUCCCCACCUCUGGUGGAAAGUAUGACCUACGCCUGGGCUACAGGCAUAGAUGGGCCGUCCUUUUGUUUCCCUUGUUAACGGAUGCCUGGUGGCCCCUUCUGAGCCUAAGUACCUUUCUUCCUUCCCUGCCCCUCAGUUCCUUCAAGGAACUGGGUGCCUCCUUCCGUCAAAUAUCAGGAAUGGAAAGAACUGAGCCUGGUCGGCUGAGGCCAGUCCUGUCCUGUCAGGGUCGAGAUUGCACGCGGGUCACUCAUUCCCACUCAGGCCCGCGCUCCCUGGGAGGACCCUCGUAAUUUAUGCUCUGCCCUAGAGCCGCUUUCCUGGUAGGAUCCUUUCAUGGCGUCUUCCCAGGACCUCCUGCCAGCUCCCAUUGGGAGUUUUGGGUCCCCUCCACCCCAGUAGGUGCAUACUUCUGCCCUCCCCAGCCCCAGCUCACACCCCCCAACACCCCCAAGCUGGUGAGUGAGGUGGAGGAGCUGUACAAGUCCAUCACAGCGCUGCGGGAGAAGCUUCUACAAGCGGAGCAGUCCCUGCGCAACCUCAAGGACAUCCACAUGAGCCUGGAGAAGGACGUCACUGCCAUGACCAACAGUCUCUUCAUCGACCGCCAGAAGUGCAUGGCCCAUCGUACUUGCUACCCCACCAUUCUGCAGCUGGCUGGCUACCAGUGAGCAGCGGCACGGUGCUUCCCCCCAAUCCCCCAAAUAAACAGUGCGUUAGCUUUCUGCA